UUGCUUUGACAGCACAUAUACUAAAAUCAGAAUAAUACAGAGAAGAUUAGCAUGGUCCCUGCACAAGGAUGACAUGCAAAUUUGUGAAGCAUUCCAUAUUUUU
rfam:Pan troglodytes isolate Yerkes chimp pedigree #C0471 (Clint) chromosome 4, whole genome shotgun sequence.